rnacentral:tRNA from 1 species
GGAGAAGUGUCUGAGUGGUCUAAAGUACUCGAUUGCUAAUCGAGUGUAUGGAUAAAUCUAUACCGAGGGUUCAAAUCCCUCCUUCUCCG